GCCAAAGUUGCUCAGUUGGGAGAGUGUUAGACUGAAGCUCUAAAAGUCCUUAGUUCAGGCCCGGGCUUUGGUA
rnacentral:tRNA from 1 species